GAAUCCUGACGAGUCCCAAACAGGACGAAACAGCUGUUCAGUGC
rnacentral:hammerhead_ribozyme from 1 species